rnacentral:lncRNA from 7 species
AGGGGCUUCUUCUUCGUAGUGGGCAUGGCAGGGGCUCGGACGGGCGCCAGCAGGGGAAGGCCACAGGGGACGUGGUGGGCCCUCGCCGGCGAGGCUCGCCAGAGCGGCGCGCGGACUCGCAGGGCACGCUGCGCAGCAGUGCCGAGGCAGGUGCGCGAGGUGGGUUGGGGGUAGGCAGCCGGCGGCGACUCGCUGGUUAGGCUGUGAACAGGCAAUGGCGG